AGGAAGCUAAAAGAAGCAAAGAAGGAAAAGCAAAGCUUUCUCAGUGGAGAAAUUAUGAUGAUUUAAAUGAAUAUUUCUGGUCAGUUGAUUGUUUCCGGCUGGGUUGGCCUAUGCGUGCUGAUGCUGAUUUCUUUUGCCAACCUCCGGAACAGCAUCGAGUUGACAAAAAGGAUCUAUAUUUAUACAAGAAAUGUAAAAGUUGUGUCUUGAGGAGUCCAAGAAAAAGCUUCGAGGGUCACCCUUUGGGUUUAUAGUUUCUCCAUUUCGU